rnacentral:rRNA from 1 species
UACGAAGGGGGCUAGCGUUGCUCGGAAUCACUGGGCGUAAAGCGCACGUAGGCGGAUCUUUAAGUCAGGGGUGAAAUCCCAAGGCUCAACCUUGGAACUGCCUUUGAUACUGGGGAUCUCGAGUCCGGAAGAGGUUGGUGGAACUGCGAGUGUAGAGGUGAAAUUCGUAGAUAUUCGCAAGAACACCAGUGACGAAGGCGGCCAACUGGUCCGGUACUGACGCUGAGGUGCGAAAGCGUGGGGAGCAAACAGGGAUUAAGAAACCC